rnacentral:rRNA from 1 species
UACGUAGGGGGCGAGCGUUGUCCGGAUUUAUUGGGCGUAAAGAGCGUGUAGGCGGCCAGGUAGGUCUGCUGUGAAAACUCGAGGCUCAACCUCGAGACGUCGGCGGAAACCAUCUGGCUAGAGUCCGGAAGAGGAGAGUGGAAUUCCUGGUGUAGCGGUGAAAUGCGCAGAUAUCAGGAGGAACACCGGUGGCGAAGGCGGGUCUCUGGGCCGAAACUGACGCUGAGGAGCGAAAAGCGUGGGGAGCAAACAGG